rnacentral:SRP_RNA from 1 species
CCGUGCUACCUGGGGAGAUAGCGGUGCCCUGUACCUGCAACCCGCUUCAGCAGGAGGGAACGCCUGGGCGCGGCGGCCCUCGCGGGCGAGGAAAGCGCAGAUGCGGCAUUGAAGGCCGGGUCCCAUGCGACGGAGUCCGGCCAACCCCGCCAGGACCGGAAGGUAGCAACGGUACGCCGGCUCCUCCGGGCGCCGUGGGGUGCCUGACCGGAGCCGCAGAAGCGCCGGAAUCGUUAGCGAAGGCCGUCCAACUUGGGAUGCACGG